rnacentral:rRNA from 1 species
GAUAGAUGGCGACCGGCGCACGGGUGAGUAACGCGUAUCCAACCUUCCCCUUAGUAGAGGAUAGCCCGGCGAAAGUCGGAUUAAUACUCUAUGUUGUAUUUUGAGGACAUCUGACGAAUACCAAAGAUUUAUCGCUAAGGGAUGGGGAUGCGUCUGAUUAGCUUGUCGGCGGGGUAACGGCCCACCGAGGCAACGAUCAGUAGGGGUUCUGAGAGGAAGGUCCCCCACAUUGGUACUGAGACACGGACCAAACUCCUACGGGAGGCAGCAGUGAGGAAUAUUGGUCAAUGGGCGUAGGCCUGAACCAGCCAAGUAGCGUGCAGGAAGACUGCCCUAUGGGUUGUAAACUGCUUUUAUGCGGGAAUAAAGUCAGGUACGCGUACCUGUUUGCAUGUACCGCAUGAAUAAGGACCGGCUAAUUCCGUGCCAGCAGCCGCGGUAAUACGGAAGGUCCGGGCGUUAUCCGGAUUUAUUGGGUUUAAAGGGAGCGCAGGCGGAGGAUUAAGCGUGACGUGAAAUGUCCCGGCUCAACCGUGGAACUGCGUCGCGAACUGGUUUUCUUGAGUGAGUGCGACGUCGGCGGAAUUCGUGGUGUAGCGGUGAAAUGCUUAGAUAUCACGAAGAACCCCGAUUGCGAAGGCAGCCGACGAGUCCUUAACUGACGCUAAAGCUCGAAAGUGCGGGUAUCGAACAGGAUUAGAUACCCUGGUAGUCCGCACGGUAAACGAUGGAUGCCCGCUGUCUGCGAUAUACUGUAGGCGGCCAAGAGAAAUCGUUAAGCAUCCCACCUGGGGAGUACGCCGGCAACGGUGAAACUCAAAGGAAUUGACGGGGGCCCGCACAAGCGGAGGAACAUGUGGUUUAAUUCGAUGAUACGCGAGGAACCUUACCCGGGCUUGAACUGCAGGCGAACGAUACAGAGAUGUUGAGGCCCUUCGGGGCGCCUGUGGAGGUGCUGCAUGGUUGUCGUCAGCUCGUGCCGUGAGGUGUCGGCUUAAGUGCCAUAACGAGCGCAACCCCUUUCUCCAGUUGCCAUCAGGCUAUGCUGGGCACUCUGGAGACACUGCCACCGUAAGGUGUGAGGAAGGUGGGGAUGACGUCAAAUCAGCACGGCCCUUACGUCCGGGGCUACACACGUGUUACAAUGGCGGCCACAGCGGGAAGCCACCCAGUGAUGGGGCGCGGAUCCCAAAAAAGCCGCCUCAGUUCGGAUCGGAGUCUGCAACCCGACUCCGUGAAGCUGGAUUCGCUAGUAAUCGCGCAUCAGCCAUGGCGCGGUGAAUACGUUCCCGGGCCUUGCACACACCGCCCGUCAAG